rnacentral:rRNA from 1 species
UUUUAUUUGAGAGUUUGAUCCUGGCUCAGGAUGAACGCUGGCGGCGUGCCUAACACAUGCAAGUUGAGCGAUUUACUUCGGUAAAGAGCGGCGGACGGGUGAGUAACGCGUGGGUAACCUACCCUGUACACACGGAUAACAUACCGAAAGGUAUGCUAAUACGGGAUAAUAUAUUUGAGAGGCAUCUCUUGAAUAUCAAAGGUGAGCCAGUACAGGAUGGACCCGCGUCUGAUUAGCUAGUUGGUAAGGUAACGGCUUACCAAGGCGACGAUCAGUAGCCGACCUGAGAGGGUGAUCGGCCACAUUGGAACUGAGACACGGUCCAAACUCCUACGGGAGGCAGCAGUGGGGAAUAUUGCACAAUGGGCGAAAGCCUGAUGCAGCAACGCCGCGUGAGUGAUGAAGGCCUUCGGGUCGUAAAACUCUG